rnacentral:rRNA from 1 species
GACGAACGCUGGCGGCGUGCUUAACACAUGCAAGUCGAACGGAAAGGCCCUGCUUUUGUGGGGUGCUCGAGUGGCGAACGGGUGAGUAACACGUGAGUAACCUGCCCUUGACUUUGGGAUAACUUCAGGAAACUGGGGCUAAUACCGGAUAGGAGCUCCUGCUGCAUGGUGGGGGUUGGAAAGUUUCGGCGGUUGGGGAUGGACUCGCGGCUUAUCAGCUUGUUGGUGGGGGAGUGGCUUACCAAGGCUUUGACGGGUAGCCGGCCUGAGAGGGUGACCGGCCACAAUGGGACUGAGAGACGGACCAGACUGCUACGGGAGGCAGAAGGGGGGAAUAUUGCACAAUGGGCGGAAGCCUGAUGCAGCAACGCCGCGUGCGGGAUGACGGCCUUCGGGGUGUAAACCGCUUUCGCCUGUGACGAAGCGUGAGUGACGGUAAUGGGUAAAGAAGCACCGGCUAACUACGUG